GUAUGCAGUUGGAACAGCGCCCCUAACGGCAAAGGAAGGCAAACGAACCCAUUCGAACGAAUGAUUCGGCAGAUGUGAAGCGCUCAUUAACAGUCCCUUAAUUUGUAAGAAGCUAGGAUCCUACUUAAGUAUAUCUGUAUUUUAAAGGUCUGAACAAAAAAAAAAAACAUGGCCGACUUCGGUCAGCUGUUUAAUUUAAUUGGUUUUAAAUAUUUUAACACUUGACAUUCGAUUGAGAGUUACAGCUAGUGUGAAACUUUUAGAGUUAAAAACUCAAAACAAUCGGCGGGUCGUGAGAAAUAAUCGUGUGUUAGAUCUAGUGGAGUCAUCUGAUUAUGAAAAAAAUUUGUUUGCCUAUAUGAAGCCGCUACUCGUCUGUUCUGCACCGGUGGUAGUGGAUGAGGUAUACUGGCCUGAGCCGGACAGAAGCUGCUAUAGCAUUAUGCAAUGAGUUAAUGUAACAUGUGAUAAGACCAAAUUGAGAAGUCAAUCGAGACGGGGGUUUAUAUAAAGUUGGGGAUCGGCCCUAUUUCAAUGACCGAAUUACCUUAAAGUCCAAGAAAUGGCAACAUCGCGUGUUUUAACGGAGUUUUUGUGAUCGAGGCCCUAACAAAGAAUUUUAUCAAACGUUUAAAA